UCUGAGCACACACUUGUAUUCUAUCAACUCAUGACUUUCCCUUGGACUAUCGUGGCCAUUACAUGUCUAAGUAACUUGAUUGUGCUCCUGGAGUUACACUCUGCUCCUAUAUGUGAUACUCUGCUCCAUGAGCAAGAGUUACCUUUGCUUAUAGGUUUACUACAGAGCAUUUUACUGCAAUCUCCAGACACUGUCCUAAUAAAUUGGCAUACGCAAAGUAACUGUUGAAUGUGCAGAGUUCAAAGGGAGAGGUCAUUCUUGGUAUGCAAGGUGGGGUAGGACUAGUUUCAUAUUGUUUCUGAAGAUGAAGGACUUUGUUUCUGCUGUCUUCAUUGAUGCUGUCCUGAAUUUGAUUGAGUAGUGGAGCCCCCUUGAUUGCACCUUCAUCCAGUUGCUUUACUGCUUGGAUUUGUUUUAUGGGUUCUGAUUUGGCUAUUUCUCAAGUAUGUCAUCAAGCAACUUUGCAAAAUGCUAUUGUGAAUAUUGUUUUAAUUCAUUAUUUGCACCAUCA